AGAACGAACGCUGGCGGCAUGCCUAACACAUGCAAGUCGAACGAGACCUUCGGGUCUAGUGGCGCACGGGUGCGUAACGCGUGGGAAUCUGCCCUUGGGUUCGGAAUAACAGUUGGAAACGACUGCUAAUACCGGAUGAUGACGUAAGUCCAAAGAUUUAUCGCCCAGGGAUGAGCCCGCGUAGGAUUAGCUAGUUGGUGAGGUAAAGGCUCACCAAGGCGACGAUCCUUAGCUGGUCUGAGAGGAUGAUCAGCCACGCUGGGACUGAGACACGGCCCAGACUCCUACGGGAGCAGCAGGUGGGGAAUAUUGGACAAUGGGACGAAAGCCUGAU
rnacentral:rRNA from 1 species